rnacentral:misc_RNA from 1 species
AAUUGCAUUGGUUUCUCGCACGACGAUCGGAUCCUCCCCCCUCGACGAUGAGUUAAGGGCCGAGAAGUGCUAAGGAGAACUGCCAGACGCGGAAAGCAAUCUAGCGGUAUCGUUGGAGAAGACCAACGGUAUCCUUCCCGGUUAAAUGGCUAGUCGAGGUAUAAAAAAGGGCUGGCCAAUUUUUUUGCUCGUUGGCCGUUCUCCAGGAAGGACGUAACCCAGCCGUGAGCCGGUCGAUGCGGAAGAAUUUUUUCAUGCAAACUUUUUCACAUACCCCUUUGCUCUUAUAGUUGCUGCCAGCUUAUCGAAGCGGAAGCGGCGAAGAGGUUGGUGGAAAGAGAAGCGAGAGAACGAGGGUACACAAAUGCUACGAGCGAAGAAGAGUGGCAUCGCAAGAAGAAACUCCAAAGGAACCCGUGCAUCCACGGUAAUUUGGCAAAGGUGAGACUUCCUAUUGGAAGAAACGUAAAAGGUAGCCUUAAGGGAGGGAUGGAAGAGAAAAAAAAGGCGCAACCUCCUGGUUGGAAGACUGGGAAGAAAAAGUGGGGAGCACAGAAUGUCAGCGUAGGCGGGUAGACCGACGGAAAGUUUCGUUCAAUCUCUCGUGAGAAUGUUACGAUAUUCGAGCAUUGUCAACGAAGGCCACUCAAACGGUUACGCUACGACGAAGGAUCGAUAAGAUCUUUGAAGAAUUCUCCUCCGGUGAAAACGUUAACGAGCACUUGGAAUCUUUCGUAUCGAUGCCUGGACGUACGUACAAGCACGCCGUGGCCUUUCG